rnacentral:rRNA from 1 species
GCAGGUCGACGAUUAGAGUUUGAUCCUGGCUCAGAUUGAACGCUGGCGGCAGGCCUAACACAUGCAAGUCGAGCGGAAACGAGUUAACUGAACCUUCGGGGAACGUUAACGGCGUCGAGCGGCGGACGGGUGAGUAAUGCCUGGGAAAUUGCCCUGAUGUGGGGGAUAACCAUUGGAAACGAUGGCUAAUACCGCAUAAUAGCUUCGGCUCAAAGAGGGGGACCUUCGGGCCUCUCGCGUCAGGAUAUGCCCAGGUGGGAUUAGCUAGUUGGUGAGGUAAUGGCUCACCAAGGCGACGAUCCCUAGCUGGUCUGAGAGGAUGAUCAGCCACACUGGAACUGAGACACGGUCCAGACUCCUACGGGAGGCAGCAGUGGGGAAUAUUGCACAAUGGGCGCAAGCCUGAUGCAGCCAUGCCGCGUGUAUGAAGAAGGCCUUCGGGUUGUAAAGUACUUUCAGCAGUGAGGAAGGUGGGUAUGUUAAUAGCAUAUUCAUUUGACGUUAGCUGCAGAAGAAGCACCGGCUAACUCCGUGCCAGCAGCCGCGGUAAUACGGAGGGUGCGAGCGUUAAUCGGAAUUACUGGGCGUAAAGCGCAUGCAGGUGGUUUGUUAAGUCAGAUGUGAAAGCCCGGGGCUCAACCUCGGAAUUGCAUUUGAAACUGGCAAACUAGAGUACUGUAGAGGGGGGUAGAAUUUCAGGUGUAGCGGUGAAAUGCGUAGAGAUCUGAAGGAAUACCGGUGGCGAAGGCGGCCCCCUGGACAGAUACUGACACUCAGAUGCGAAAGCGUGGGGAGCAAACAGGAUUAGAUACCCUGGUAGUCCACGCCGUAAACGAUGUCUACUUGGAGGUUGUGGCCUUGAGCCGUGGCUUUCGGAGCUAACGCGUUAAGUAGACCGCCUGGGGAGUACGGUCGCAAGAUUAAAACUCAAAUGAAUUGACGGGGGCCCGCACAAGCGGUGGAGCAUGUGGUUUAAUUCGAUGCAACGCGAAGAACCUUACCUACUCUUGACAUCUACAGAGCCAGCGGAGAC